rnacentral:rRNA from 1 species
UACGGAGGGGGCUAGCGUUGUUCGGAAUCACUGGGCGUAAAGCGCACGUAGGCGGAUUGCUAAGUCAGGGGUGAAAUCCUGGAGCUCAACUCCAGAACUGCCUUUGAUACUGGUGAUCUUGAGUCCGGGAGAGGUGAGUGGAACUGCGAGUGUAGAGGUGAAAUUCGUAGAUAUUCGCAAGAACACCAGUGGCGAAGGCGGACUCACUGGCCCGGUACUGACGCUGAGGUGCGAAAGCGUGGGGAGCAAACAGG